rnacentral:rRNA from 1 species
CCGAGUUUACACUCCCAAACCCCUGUGAACAUACCUAUACGUUGCCUCGGCGGAUCAGCCCGCGCCCCGUAAAACGGGACGGCCCGCCCGAGGACCCUAAACUCUGUUUUUAGUGGAACUUCUGAGUAAAACAAACAAAUAAAUCAAAACUUUCAACAACGGAUCUCUUGGUUCUGGCAUCGAUGAAGAACGCAGCAAAAUGCGAUAAGUAAUGUGAAUUGCAGAAUUCAGUGAAUCAUCGAAUCUUUGAACGCACAUUGCGCCCGCCAGUAUUCUGGCGGGCAUGCCUGUUCGAGCGUCAUUUCAACCCUCAAGCUCAGCUUGGUGUUGGGACUCGCGGUAACCCGCGUUCCCCAAAUCGAUUGGCGGUCACGUCGAGCUUCCAUAGCGUAGUAAUCAUACACCUCGUUACUGGUAAUCGUCGCGGCCACGCCGUAAAACCCCAACUUCUGAAUGUUGACCUCGGAUCAGGUAGGAAUACCCGCUG